rnacentral:misc_RNA from 1 species
AUACUGGACUUGAUUUCCAAUGAGCUUCUUGAACACUCAAGAAUAACUGGAUUGGAAGUAGAAGACAAAAUGAGAGGGUUACAGCCUGCCAUGUUCGAAGAUUUUGUGAAGCCUUUCCAAAUAAACAUGGAGGAGGAAGGACCAUUGCCUCAUAAUGACCGUUUGAGUUAUCAACCGCUGGACAUUUAUCCUGCGCCCCUCCACAGAAGUUAACAUCAAUGGUGGUUGUUUGAGUUUUCUGGUCAGACCGACAUCGGAAGUUGCCUAGUAGUGAAUGUUGAGGUUUAGAGACAAUGUCCUUUUUCACAUCAACUCUGACCAAAACCUUUGCAAACCAACAGAAAGGCUGCUUAGUAGAUAGUAAGGUUGGGUUGCAAAUGUUCCAUUUUUUAUUAUUUAGGCACAUUUUUGUUUCUUCUUUCCUUCUUUUGCUCUCUUUUCUUUUCCCUUAAUUUAUUUCAUGGUUUAAAUAGAGCAACUUUGUACAAGAAAGACCAAUGAGAAUCGAAAAUGUAAAAUUUGG